rnacentral:lncRNA from 1 species
CGUCAAAGCAGAUUAUUGAGUUGUGUAUAACGUGGACUUAACAGGCUUCCUUCAAACGUUUUCCAAGAUUAUUGAGAAUCCAGAUAGCUUAACAAUGUAGAUGGAGAGCUAAGAUCAACAAAGAGAGGAAAAAGUUAUACUUAUUCGCAGCUAAGACAAGUUGGUAUGCGUUGCAACUGAUAUAUGUAGUGCUAAAAAAUUUCCAGUAGUUCAAAGUGAGCCUAGCAGUGCAAUUUUUUAUUCUCUUCUCUUAACGAAGUAGUGUUUUUCUGGAUUGCAAGAAUGUGACUAGUUUCUCAAAGAUGAAGAUUUAAAUAAUUGUUGCAGGUCAUAGUAGAGAACAAAAUGGCUUUGUGAAGCCUAUGGAUAGUCCUCUGUUACUAACUUGAUGCCAAGCAUUCCUAAGAACAUAAACAAAAUCAUAGAAUUUGGUUGGAUCAGCAGAAAGUUGAAAUUAGUAGGAGGUGACUCUGCUGGCAUUGUGAAAGCAUUUUAUCUAAGUUCAAUAAAAUAUUCGUACACUUCUAUUAUUCUGGUGGAAAUUUUGACAAUAGACAUAAUACUCUAUUUUUGGUGAGUACAUUGGGUGCAGGUGUCCUCAGAAAUGAGAUAAGACUUUUGAGUUCUUAUAAAAAACAACAGAGAAGCGUCAUCUUAUUCACAGAAAUGUGUAUAACAAUGGCAAUGGUGGGCAUGAGAUCUUUUUUUUGGUUUUACACCGGGUAGAUUCAUUAAACAAGUAAAUACUUCCUUCAGAAAUAUAGAAAAUAUUUGUAAAUGCAGGUUUUUGGUGUAUAAGGUACUGAUAAAGAUAUUUGUAAAUGCAGGUUUUUGGUGUAUAAGAUACCGAUAAAGAUAUAUAAGUUAUUUCCACUUUAUUUUGAUCUGGAUUUUGAUUGUUAUCUCGAUAUACAUAUUUAUAAAAUUAUACACUACACUCAUGUUGGGCCCGGGCUACUUUUACUAGUAACAGAAUAAAGGAAAGCAUCUGGCAGUGCAAUCUGCUCAAUUUUUAUAUAGAUAUAUGUAUUUAUUUAUUUUAUCUUGUACAAUAUGACAUUGUGAGUAUUUCAAAGCUUCAUUUCAUAUUCAAAAAAUAACAAAUACAUUUCACUAUAUUUAUUAUUUACAUAUUAAUAAUAAUAAUUUAUUUUAAUU